rnacentral:rRNA from 1 species
AGAGUUUGAUCCUGGCUCAGGACGAACGCUGGCGGCGUGCUUAACACAUGCAAGUCGAACGGUGAAGUCCCUUCGGGGGCGGAUCAGUGGCGAACGGGUGAGUAACACGUGGGCAAUCUGCCCCUCACUGUGGGAUAACUCCGGGAAACCGGGGCUAAUACCGCAUAUGAAGCCUGGCGGCAUCGCCGGGUUUGGAAAGUUUUUCGGUGAGGGAUGAGCCCGCGGCCUAUCAGCUUGUUGGUGAGGUAAUGGCUCACCAAGGCGACGACGGGUAGCCGGCCUGAGAGGGCGACCGGCCACACUGGGACUGAGACACGGCCCAGACUCCUACGGGAGGCAGCAGUGGGGAAUAUUGGGCAAUGGGCGAAAGCCUGACCCAGCGACG